CGGCAAUAGCUCAAGUUUAGAAUCUGUGUCUUUUUAAGGCACCGAAUUGUAAUCUAAAGGGGCCAACCACAGGAGCGGCGGAGGCAUAAGUUCCUUGGAAUAGGACAUCACAGAGGGUGAAAAUCCCGUAUGUAGCCUCCUCCAAACCGAGCGUUGACCUUCUA
rnacentral:rRNA from 1 species